GAUGAACGCUGGCGGCGUGCCUAAUACAUGCAAGUCGAGCGAACGGACGAGAAGCUUGCUCCUAUGAUGUUAGCGGCGGACGGGUGAGUAACACGUGGAUAACCUACCUAUAAGCCUGGGAUAACUUCGGGAAACCAGAGCUAAUACCGGAUAACAUCUUGAACCGUAUGGUUCAAAAGUGAAAGAUGGUCUUGCUGUCACUUAUAGAUGGCUCCCGUCUUCUUUAGCUAGUUGGUAAGGAAACGGCUUACCAAGGCAAGGAGCGAUAGCCGACCGGAGAGGGGAUCGGCCCAAGCGGGAACGGGACAACGGUCCAAAUCCCUAGGGGGGGAGGCGUAGGGGAACUUUGGCAAAGGAGGAAAGUCCGAACGGGGCAAGCCGGGGGGGGGAAUGAAGGUCUCCGGUUCGUAAAACUCUUUGGUAAGGAAAAAAGAUGGUGGGAAUUGACUGUGCAUAUCUUGACGGUACCUAAUCAGAAAGCCACGGCUAACUACGUG
rnacentral:rRNA from 1 species